UCGCCGCGCAGCCUCCGCGCCGCCUUCAGGCGCGCCCCUCGGCGUACCGGCCGUCACUCUGGCGGGGAAAGGGCGAAGAGGGCCAGUGGCCCAGCCGACCUUGGCUCCUCCCGCCCGCCCGGAGCCUUAAGCGCCGCCUCGCCUUCCCAGGCCCUAGUCCCUGCCGGGUUUGUGCUAGGCCCGCGCGCGCCUCGCUCGGCCAUGGGCAGCGCCGGCUCCUCGCCGCUGGUCCGCCUGGGCCUCCCCGCGCAGCCCCGGCCGGGCUGGCUCGGGGUCGCCGCGCUGGGUCUGGCCGUGGGGGCGCUGGGGGCCGUCGCCUGGCGCCGUGGGUGGCCCAGGCGGCGCCGGCGGCUGCAGCAGGUGGGCACCGUGGCGCAGCUCUGGAUCUACCCGGUCAAGUCCUGCAAGGGGGUGCCGGUGAGCACGGCGGAGUGCACCGCCAUGGGGCUGCGCAGCGGCCACCUGCGGGACAGGUUUUGGCUGGUGAUUAAGGAAGAUGGACACAUGGUCACAGCCCGGCAGGAGCCGCGCCUCGUGCUGGUCUCCAUCACAUACGAGAACAACCACCUGAUGCUGAGGGCUCCGGGGGUGGACCAGCUGGUUUUGCCUAGCAAGCUGCCUUCCUCAAACCCACUCCACGACUGCAGGGUAUUUGGUCUUGACAUUAAAGGCAGAGACUGUGGUGAUGAGGCAGCUCAGUGGUUCACCAACUUCUUGAAAACAGAAGCCUUCAGGUUGGUUCAGUUUGAAAUGAGCAUGAAGGGAAGAACAUCGAGAAAACUUAUCCCCACUGCUGUACAGAAUUACCAGGUGGCCUACCCAGACUACAGCCCAAUCCUGAUCCUCUCGGAAGCCUCGCUGGCAGAUUUGAAUACCAGAAUGGAGAAGAAAGUGAAAAUGGAGUAUUUCAGGCCAAAUAUUGUGGUGACAGGCUGUGAUGCUUUUGAGGAGGAUACCUGGGAUGAACUCCUGAUUGGUAGUGUAGAGAUGAAAAAGAUAAUGGCUUGCCCCAGGUGCAUUUUGACCACUGUGGACCCAGAUACUGGAGUCAUAGACAGGAAGGAGCCACUGGAAACCCUGAAGAGCUACCGCCUGUGUGAUCCUUCUGAGAAGCCAUUAUACAAGUCAUCCCCACUUUUUGGCAUCUAUUAUUCAGUGGAAAAAAUUGGAAACCUGAGAGUCGGUGACCCCGUGUAUCGGGUGGUGUAGUGAUGGAUCCAUUAGAGUGAUAUGGUAAAUGUUAUAAAAUGCUGAUGGAAGAGCUCCAGAAGAAAUACAGGUUCCAACAUCGAGGAGGCACUGACCAGGAUUUUAACAACAGCAGUAACAAUACAUCAGAGAAUCCUUAUUGCCCAGCCUUUAACCAUCUUUAUCCUGGAAACGAAUCUCUAUUUUUGACUUUUUAGAGUGGUAUAUGCUCUGGGCUAAUGCAAGGAAAGCAUUAGAAGUGAUUUGGGAAUGUGAAGGUAUAUCAAUUUAAGGUAAUGAAGGCUUUUCAAAUAAAUAAAAUUGUCUAUAAAAUCAUUUUGAAUAUGACUGUGGAUCUUACACUUUUCUAAUACCUGACUUCACUAUUGAUGAACAAGAAAAUAUAAUGAAUCAACUAAAAAGCUGCAAAACAUUUUUAAAAUUUUGCUACCUAUCAUUCUAUGUUUUGGCAAAAAUGGGAAACAACAGUUUAUUGUUUCUUGAUGUGCCUUUACAUGUUAACACAUUUACAGAUGCCCAUCAAUUGGUCUUUGCGUGGCUAUUGAGGCUUACUGACUUUUCAGUUGUGUUUCUUAUCUCACCAUUAAGGAAUCAGGGUUGUACUUGAGUACUGAAAUUAUUUCAUAGCACUUGUUUUUUAUAUUCUAUUACACCUUUAUUAAGCCAUAUAAAAGUAGCUUGCUUGUAUGUAACUGCUGGGUACACCACCUGCAAUUUCAAGUAAGAUAAAGAGAAUGGAAUUUUGAAAGUGAGAGUGGAAGAAGAAAGUGUGAACAUAUUUUUUAGAUGCAAAUUAUUUUUUUGUAACAAAGAGAAAUGAACUAUUUGGUCUGAUGAAGCAAAAAAAUACUCACCGAAGUAAUUAAUAUAUGAAUGAAUUAAUUAACCCACUUACAAUUUUGUGGUUUCUUUAUUAUUAAUAAAUGUGAAUCUCAA